rnacentral:rRNA from 1 species
AUUGAACGCUGGCGGCAGGCUUAACACAUGCAAGUCGAGCGGAGAUGAGGUGCUUGCACCUUAUCUUAGCGGCGGACGGGUGAGUAAUGCUUAGGAAUCUGCCUAUUAGUGGGGGACAACAUUCCGAAAGGAAUGCUAAUACCGCAUACGUCCUACGGGAGAAAGCAGGGGAUCUUCGGACCUUGCGCUAAUAAAUGAGCCUAAGUCGGAUUAGCUAGUUGGUGGGGUAAAGGCCUACCAAGGCGACGAUCUGGAGCGGGUCUGAGAGGAUGAUCCGCCACACUGGGACUGAGACACGGCCCAGACUCCUACGGGAGGCAGCAGUGGGGAAUAUUGGACAAUGGGGGGAACCCUGAUCCAGCCAUGCCGCGUGUGUGAAGAAGGCCUUUUGGUUGUAAAGCACUUUAAGCGAGGAGGAGGCUACCGAGAUUAAUACUCUUGGAUAGUGGACGUUACUCGCAGAAUAAGCACCGGCUAACUUCGUGCCAGCAGCCGCCGUAAAAC